GCACCUGAUUCCUAGCGGCGGACGGGUGAGUAAUGCUUAGGAAUCUGCCUAUUAGUGGGGGACAACGUUCCGAAAGGGACGCUAAUACCGCAUACGUCCUACGGGAGAAAGCAGGGGAUCUUCGGACCUUGCGCUAAUAGAUGAGCCUAAGUCGGAUUAGCUAGUUGGUGGGGUAAAGGCCUACCAAGGCGACGAUCUGUAGCGGGUCUGAGAGGAUGAUCCGCCACACUGGGACUGAGACACGGCCCAGACUCCUACGGGAGGCAGCAGUGGGGAAUAUUGGACAAUGGGGGGAACCCUGAUCCAGCCAUGCCGCGUGUGUGAAGAAGGCCUUUUGGUUGUAAAGCACUUUAAGCGAGGAGGAGGCUUACCUGGUUAAUACCUGGGAUAAGUGGACGUUACUCGCAGAAUAAGCACCGGCUAACUCUGUGCCAGCAGCCGCGGUAAUACAGAGGGUGCAAGCGUUAAUCGGAUUUACUGGGCGUAAAGCGCGCGUAGGUGGCUAAUUAAGUCAAAUGUGAAAUCCCCGAGCUUAACUUGGGAAUUGCAUUCGAUACUGGUUAGCUAGAGUAUGGGAGAGGAUGGUAGAAUUCCAGGUGUAGCGGUGAAAUGCGUAGAGAUCUGGAGGAAUACCGAUGGCGAAGGCAGCCAUCUGGCCUAAUACUGACACUGAGGUGCGAAAGCAUGGGG
rnacentral:rRNA from 1 species